AGUCGAGGGGCAGCAUGGUCUUAGCUUGCUAAGGCCGAUGGCGACCGGCGCACGGGUGAGUAACACGUAUCCAACCUGCCGUCUACUCUUGGACAGCCUUCUGAAAGGAAGAUUAAUACAAGAUGGCAUCAUGAGUCCGCAUGUUCACAUGAUUAAAGGUAUUCCGGUAGACGAUGGGGAUGCGUUCCAUUAGAUAGUAGGCGGGGUAACGGCCCACCUAGUCUUCGAUGGAUAGGGGUUCUGAGAGGAAGGUCCCCCACAUUGGAACUGAGACACGGUCCAAACUCCUACGGGAGGCAGCAGUGAGGAAUAUUGGUCAAUGGGCGAGAGCCUGAACCAGCCAAGUAGCGUGAGGGAUGACUGCCCUAUGGGUUGUAAACUUCUUUUAUAAAGGAAUAAAGUCGGGUAUGGAUACCCGUUUGCAUGUACUUUAUGAAUAAGGAUCGGCUAACUCCGUGCCAGCAGCCGCGGUAAUACGGAGGACCCGAGCGUUAUCCGGAUUUAUUGGGUUUAAAGGGAGCGUAGAUGGAUGUUUAAGUCAGUUGUGAAAGUUUGCGGCUCAACCGUAAAAUUGCAGUUGAUACUGGAUAUCUUGAGUGCAGUUGAGGCAGGCGGAAUUCGUGGUGUAGCGGUGAAAUGCUUAGAUAUCACGAAGAACUCCGAUUGCGAAGGCAGCCUGCUAAGCUGCAACUGACAUUGAGGCUCGAAAGUGUGGG
rnacentral:rRNA from 1 species